rnacentral:ncRNA from 3 species
UCCGUAGGUGAACCUGCGUAAGGAUCAUUA